rnacentral:rRNA from 1 species
ACAAUGGAGAGUUUGAUCCUGGCUCAGGAUGAACGCUAGCGGCAGGCUUAACACAUGCAAGUCGAGGGGCAUCGCGGGUAGCAAUACCUGGCGGCGACCGGCAAACGGGUGCGGAACACGUACGCAAUCUGCCCUUACCCGGAGCAUAGCCCGAAGAAAUUCGGAUUAACUCUCCAUAAGAUAGUAAAAUGGCAUCAUUUAGCUAUUAAAAAUUUAUUGGGUAAGGAUGAGCGUGCGUCCCAUUAGCUAGUUGGUAGGGUAACGGCCUACCAAGGCGACGAUGGGUAGCUGGUGUGAGAGCACGACCAGCCACACGGGCACUGAGACACGGGCCCGACUCCUACGGGAGGCAGCAGUGAGGAAUAUUGGUCAA